rnacentral:rRNA from 1 species
CAAUAGCGUAUAUUUAAGUUGUUGCAGUUAAAAGCUCGUAGUUGGAUUUCGGUUGAGAACGGCCGGUCCGCCGUUUGGUGUGCACUGGCUGGUCUCAACUUCCUGUAGAGGACGCGCUCUGGGUUAACGCUCGGACGCGGAGUCUACGUGGUUACUUUGAAAAAUUAGAGUGUUUAAAGCAGGCGUUUGCUGUGAAUACAUUAGCAUGGAAUAAUAAGAUAGGACUUUGGUGCUAUUUUGUUGGUUUGUACACCGAGGUAAUGAUUAAUAGGGACAGUUGGGGGUAUUCGUAUUUAAUUGUCAGAGGUGAAAUUCUUGGAUUUAUGAAAGACGAACUACUGCGAAAGCAUUUACCAAGGAUGUUUUCAUUAAUCAAGAACGAAAGUUAGGGGAUCGAAGAUGAUCAGAUACCA